GUGGGGAAUAUUGGACAAUGGGCGAAAGCCUGAUCCAGCCAUGCCGCGUGUGUGAAGAAGGUCUUCGGAUUGUAAAGCACUUUAAGUUGGGAGGAAGGGCAGUAAGUUAAUACCUUGCUGUUUUGACGUUACCAACAGAAUAAGCACCGGCUAACUUCGUGCCAGCAGCCGCGGUAAUACGAAGGGUGCAAGCGUUAAUCGGAAUUACUGGGCGUAAAGCGCGCGUAGGUGGUUCAGCAAGUUGGAGGUGGAAACCCCGGGCUCAACCUGGGAACUGACUCCAAAACUACUGAGCUAGAGUACGGUAGAGGGUAGUGGAAUGUCCUGUGUAGCGGUGAAAUGCGUAGAUAUAGGAAGGAACACCAGUGGCGAAGGCGACUACCUGGACUGAUACUGACACUGAGGUGCGAAAGCGUGGGGAGCAAACAGGAUUAGAAACCCUGGUAGUCC
rnacentral:rRNA from 1 species